rnacentral:rRNA from 1 species
AUUGAACGCUGGCGGAAUGCUUUACACAUCCAAGUCGAGCGGCAGCACGGGGGCAACCCUGGUGGCGAGCGGCGAACGGGUGAGUAAUACAUCGGAACAUGCCCAGUCGUGGGGGAUAACACUUCGAAAGAAGUGCUAAUACCGCAUACGUCCUGAGGGAGAAAGCGGGGGAUCGCAAGACCUCGCGCGAUUGGAGUGGCCGAUGUCAGAUUAGCUAGUUGGUGGGGUAAAGGCCUACCAAGGCAACGAUCUGUAGCUGGUCUGAGAGGAUGAUCAGCCACACUGGGACUGAGACACGGCCCAGACUCCUACGGGAGGCAGCAGUGGGGAAUUUUGGACAAUGGGGGCAACCCUGAUCCAGCCAUUCCGCGUGAGUGAAGAAGGCCUUCGGGUUGUAAAGCUCUUUCGGCAGGAACGAAACGGUGAGCUCUAACAUAGCUUGCUAAUGACGGUACCUGAAGAAGAAGCACCGGCUAACUACGUG